GACGAACGCUGGCGGCGUGCCUAAUACAUGCAAGUAGAACGCUGAGGGAGGAGCUUGCUUCUCUGGAUGAGUUGCGAACGGGUGAGUAACGCGUAGGUAACCUGCCUGGUAGCGGGGGAUAACUAUUGGAAACGAUAGCUAAUACCGCAUAAUAGUAGAUGUCGCAUGACAUUUGCUUAAAAGAUGCAAUUGCAUCACUACCAGAUGGACCUGCGUUGGAUUAUCUAGUUGGUGAGGUAACGGCUCACCAAGGCAACGAUACAUAGCCGACCUGAGAGGGUGAUCGGCCACACUGGGACUGAGACACGGCCCAGACUCCUACCGGAGGCAGCAGGAGGGAAUCUUCGGCAAUGGACGGAAGUCCGACCGAGCAACGCCGCGGGAGUGAAGGAGGUUUUCGGAUCGUAAAGCUCCGUUGUAAGAGAAGAAAGAGAGUGAGAGUGGAAAGUUCACACUGUGACGGUAUCUUACCAGAAAGGGACGGCUAACUACGUG
rnacentral:rRNA from 1 species